CUGCAUUUGCUAAUUAUCAAAGGAACUUGUAGAUAAUGACAGUUUUCUCCCUCCCAGCUCACCACUCCUUCUUCUAUCCUGCAGUGAAGUAACCACCAUUGAGGACGGUGCUAUUAAUUUCCAUGACGACCAUUAAGCCGCUGGAAUUUCACUGUAGGGAAAAGGUGGAAAUGAAUAUUUCCCAGAUCUCAUAACCAACAUCUGACCAGCUCUUUCACCAAGAACCACCCACUAAGACUGGGAUUUUUUUUUCAGAUAUGUAGUUUAACAAAUAGGAUGAAAAACAGAUAAUGAAGGAACAAUUAUUAAAGCAAAGAACAGAACUACAAAGUCUGCCAUCCCUACUUGCUGAAGACAAAUACUUUGUCACCCAGGUUUGCAAAAUUCAAUAAUGACUUCUAAACAAUUUCUCUAAAAUUGAAUUUUGGCAAAUUUAUUGUCCAUGAAAGAAAUUGAACCCCAAUAAGCUUGUUAUUAUUUCUCUUUGCUCUCUUCAAAUUGUUUAAAAUAAACACAGUGGAUUUAA